CAAGAACCCCACAACCGACCAAACUCCAUAUUUAGUUUCCUCUACCGAAAAAUUUAUAAGUUCGUGUGUUGUUGUUGUCAUCGCACCACAGCAGAUUCUUCUGCGGCUUCGGCUCAACACCAUCACCAAGACGAUCAAGGCUGGUCUCUGUGUUGCUGUUCAACCACCAACGAGAGCCGCCGUUAGCUGUGUUUAGGUCCAUAAAUGGAGGAAGGCUAGAUCGUGUACAAUUGGUCACAGUAAAGGAGGAAUAGGACUCUCGCUAUCUCCUUCCAAGUGAUGACGGGUUUUCCGUCAAGACUGGAUGUAGGGUGAUAGCUCACCCCCGAGAUAUUGAGAAGUAUGGUAUUGUAAUAGUAAACCCCAGUUUUAUAAAUAGAAGCUUAGUUAGUGGUUAAUCGAAUAGCUUCACUUUUGUAUCAAACCUUGGGGUGUUAAACUGGUCUAUUUACAUAGAUAUGAUAAUGUUGUAGUUGUGGUUUGUGAAAAAUAAUAUCCUACGUUUCUAUCCCA